GACUAGUAAGUGUGCACGUUAAACAUUCAUGGUUUUACACUAAGAAUUGAGUACACCCUAUUUCAGCUAAUAUGAAGAAAAAUAAAGAUGGAUGAGAUUAUUUAUACUGUUUGGAAGGUGCUAUAUUAUUAUAUCCCUCGUUUUUCUGGAAGGAAUGGAUCACAAGAAAAAUAUGUGUGAAUGUAUGAAAACCAAAUAAUAGAGAAAAUUACAAAAAAAGAAAAUAUGGCAUUGUCAUCAACAGAGUUGUCCUCCAGCUUCAAUUUAAAAGAAAACUGCAGCCCGAUAAGAGGACGAAUACUAAAAGCAACUUAUUUUAUAAAGUAGUAUUUCAUAGUAUAGCAAUAGUACCAAGCCAAGCUUUCAUAUUAAGGCCAAGGAUUAAACCACAUUUCAAUUGGACACAGUAUAAGCAAAGCGAUUCAAUCCAUCCAUUAUAUUAUAUCUUGAAUGGGCAGUGGAAAUCGAAGAGACAUUCAGAAUCGCCAACAAUACACAACGCAUCUAGCUGAAAAUUUUGAAAACUUGGUUUACUUACAGUUCCGGAUGACUAAGGCACUCCUUUUAUCCAAUUUAUUCAGUUUAACCUGUUGCAGUAGUCAAAUUAAAAUUAAAUUCAAAUCAAACCUACAAAUAUUUAUGAAAUAUCAGUAAAAUCCAACUUCUAAAAUAUAUCCAACUAAAAAAACAUAGUAAAAAGCACAUCAAUUUUAGAAAUUGCUUUGGCAUAGAAAGCUACCUGAAUAUCAGUUUUUGUGGACGCAAUAUCAGAAAAUGAUGGGCAAAUGAUAAAUCAUUAGAAGACUGAAUUUAGACUAAAAAUAAAAAGUAAAACCUAUUGUGACCAACCACAACUGCCAGCUUAGUCUACCCGUUGGCAUGAUCAUCCCAAGGAACUCAAAUAAUAAGUGCUUGCAUUAUGACAUGAACUUGACAUUAAGCUUUGUCAAGAGAUAGUUCCAUGUGAUUCCCUUGAAAACUUUAAUAUAUUCAACUUGCUCCUAGCAUUUAACUCAGUGAACAUUUUGACAUAUAUCCAAUUUAUCAAUACAUGAACUAUUUUAUAAGUAUGGUCGCUGCUUCAGAAUUGUGGAGACAAUUGCUGAGAAAUCCAUCCUCUCUGGCAUUUAGCUCGGGAGUAGUUCGGUGAUAAAAACAUUAAUAAAUCAACAUCCUAUAUAUUUAGGCAUCUGUAAAUUAUAAAUUAUAAGUAGUGCAAUAUAUAAAAUAACAAGUUUUUUUUAAAAUUAGUACUACUUUCUUCUGGAUGAUAUUGAUCUGGAGCCCUUGCCUCGCUUGUAAUCCAUCUCCUAGAGUGGUCAGAAAGGAAGAGCCAAAGAUGUGCAGUGGUCAGGUGCAGCAGCUUUGCUGCUCUCCCCUGCUGUCAACCAUCCAUAUAUACCAGGCCAUUAUUAGAUUUACAUGGGAAAAAAUAAUUAAUCCAAACAUAUAACAUUGCCAUAGCUGUAUAUGUAUAACAUAUGUAACUUGUUUGUCUGCAAAUUUAAAUGGUAAAGUUUCACAAUUUGUUGGAAUUGAAAAUUAUAUUUUGUAUAGCUCACUUGACACUGAUCAUCCGUCAGUAAUCAGCUCGUUUCAACCUGUUGUGGAUGCUACAUAUUAUAUCUUAGCUGAAUUGAAAUGCCUGACAGAGGCAAUAAGAUAUAUUGAGCUAUUUCUAUAGGAACUGCAGAAAGCACUGCUUUUUUAUUCCCUAAAGAAACAGUACCCAUUGUUUUCCUUUUGGAAACCUACCUUGAUAUAAUCAAAUAUAGAGCAAUAUGGAGCAAUAUAGUUUAUUUUACUCCUAUGGCAGUAGAUGAUUUGUGAUCUUCAGCUUAGUCUUCAGGACUCACUGUAUCAACAUAUUUUAGUAACAAUAUAAACCAAAUUUAGUAAAAUCUAAGUGAUUGGUAUAUGAAGUCCAGAAUUAAAAACAUCUCCAAAUCUAAGCCAUCAUACCAGUUUCAUCUCAGAGUUAAUAGGUGCAAAAUCUGAACAAGAAAAUUAGGUUGGACAUAUCGAUAGAGAUUAGUAAAAUCUAAGCUAGUGCUACAUGAAGCCCUGAACUGAACUAAAAAAAAUCUCCGAACCUAAGUCAUCCUGCCAUGUUCAUUUCAGAGUUAAUAGGAACAAAAAUCUGAAAAAAAAUAGAAAAUUAGGUUGCACAUAUCAACAAAUUAAGAUUAGUAAAAUCUAAGCGAGUGAUAUAUGAAGUCGUGAACUAAAAAUAGUCUCCAAACCUAGGCUAUCCUGCCAUCUUCAUUUCUGAGUUAAUAGAUACAUACAUCUGAGAAAAUAGAAAAUUAGGUUGGAGAGGGUAUUCAAUUGAACCUAGCUUUUUAGCAGAAAAUGAAAAGGAAAAGAAAAGUUAUUUAAUUGAAGAUGUACUUGCAGCUCUGAAAUUAAAAGAUAUUCAAUUGAACCUGACUUUUAGCAGCAAAACAGAACCAUCGCAUCAAGUGCAAGUUGGGGAGCUGUUCAGAAGCAAAACGCCACAGUUGGAACACUUUGAAUUCAGAUGAAUUUUACUGAAUGGAGGCAAACAUGUCAUGCCAAUCGGUCUGGCACUACUGCUGAAUCCAAAAGAAAUUAAUUAUUAACUGAUCUAUAAAACAGAUCUUAGCAGCUGAGCAAUUAUACCUCUAAGUUUACGACUAAAUGCUAAUCAACUAAAAAUCUGUGAGUGUUUCAGUUGCAACGGAGUAAAUUAGUAACUGCAAGAACUGAACCUAUGGCCAAAUGUAGAUUGCAUACCAGUAUUUGUGAUUUGGGUUCCAGGUAAUCAAAUAGUCUACUUUGUCGAUAAUAUAGUGGACACAUACAUUCAGAAAAUAGGAACAACGCGGUUUUUUUUAGUUUCAGUGUGAGAAAGAGAGCAGACCUAUCAAGCCUCAACAAUCAUCAGAUCAUGGAGCGAUUUUCUUUAUUUCUUAGUAAAGCUUCCUUAUGGACAAUUUAAGUUCCUGAAUAUGCCAAUCAUGACUCAUGAGUGGUGUACCAUUCUCAGAGCCAAGAACGAGAUCGAUGUCACAAUAUGUAGAAACAACUUAGCUGCAGUAAACUGAAGCAAAGCAAAUGAGCACAGAUGAUAUGACGAUGCCUGGCAAGCUUUCUAUGCUGCGAUUCAUCCCAGGGAGAUGAUCGGUACGGAAAACAACAGUUCUACCAAGGUCACUUCGCUAUUCUCAGAUAGUCAGAUGUAUUAUCAUUAUUCACAAAUCACAACAGCAGCAGGAAUCAAGUCUGCCCUGCAUUUGGGUUGGUUCCAGAACCGUGCGGCGAUUGUUGAAGAAGAGGAAGGGGGAAGCAAUGGAUGAUUACCUGCUUGACCACCAUCGUCGGCGAAGCGAAGAACGUGUAGCACGGCCUGCCCGCUGACCUGAACAGGAUGGAGGAGCGGGAAGCCUCGCCGGCGGCCGUCCUGACAACCUUCUGCGGCGGCGGGGUGAUCAGCUGAGGAGGGGGCGAUGGGGUUGGAAGGGGCGGUUGGAGGAAGGGCGGUGUUCCAGUGGUGGCGGCGGACCCGGCGACGUGCGGUUGCCGCGGAGGACGUUGAUGACGGCGGCUGCGGAGGGCUAGAAGGGAGGGGAGGCAGCAGGACGGAUGUGAACCUCGCCGUUCCGGCGCCGGCGCGGUGCAGCACCCGUCAGCAAGGGAAGGGGGGAUGCGGGGCGGUGGGGCGGGGGCGCGUUACGCGCGUAGGAGGCGGCGGCGGCGGCGAUGCGGCCCGCUUCCUCGGCAACGACGACGGCUCCGACGGGAGGUGGCGGCCACAGGCGAUCCGAGGCAGCGGCGGGGUAGGGAAAUCGGGAGCGCAGCCACGCGAGCGGAGCGGCGCCGGCGGGCGCGCAGGAGGCGAGCGGCGGGCGGCGCCGCGCAGGAGGAUAGGUUUUCCCUUUUUUUUUUCGGCGGCGGUGGGUUCUUUUCACUUUUU
rnacentral:lncRNA from 1 species